rnacentral:rRNA from 1 species
UUGACCUCAAAUCGGGUGAGACUACCCGCUGAACUUAAGCAUAUCAAUAAGCCGGAGGAAAAGAAACUAACAAGGAUUCCCCUAGUAACUGCGAGUGAAGCGGGAAAAGCUCAAAUUUAAAAUCUGGUGGUCUUUGGCCAUCCGAGUUGUAAUUUAGAGAAGCGACUUCCGCGCUGGACCGUGCACAAGUCUCCUGGAAUGGAGCGUCAUAGAGGGUGAGAAUCCCGUCUUUGGCACGGACACACCAGGGCUUUUGUGAUGCGCUCUCGAAGAGUCGAGUUGUUUGGGAAUGCAGCUCAAAAUGGGUGGUGAACUCCAUCUAAAGCUAAAUAUUGGCGAGAGACCGAUAGCGAACAAGUACCGUGAGGGAAAGAUGAAAAGCACUUUGGAAAGAGAGUGAAACAGUACGUGAAAUUGUUGAAAGGGAAACGCUUGAAGUCAGUCGCGUCGACCGAGACUCAGCCUUGCCUUGGCUUGGUGUACUUCUCGGCUGACGGGUCAGCAUCAAUUUUGCCCCUUGGAUAAUGGCGAGGGAAAUGUGACACCUUUACGGUGUGUUAUAGUCUCUCGUCGCAUGCAAGGGUUGGGAUUGAGGAACUCAGCACGCACCUUUGGGUGUCGGGGUUUUGCCCACGAUACGUGCUUAGGA